UACGUAGGGUGCGAGCGUUAAUCGGAAUUACUGGGCGUAAAGCGUGCGCAGGCGGUUCGUUGUGUCGGUGGUGAAAUCCCCGGGCUUAACCUGGGAAUGGCCAUGGAAACUGGCGAACUGGAGUGUGGCAGAGGGGGGUGGAAUUCCGCGUGUAGCAGUGAAAUGCGUAGAGAUGCGGAGGAACACCGAUGGCGAAGGCAGCCCCCUGGGCUAACACUGACGCUGAGGUGCGAAAGCGUGGGGAGCAAACAGG
rnacentral:rRNA from 1 species